rnacentral:rRNA from 1 species
UACGUAGGGGCGAGCGUUGUCCGGAAUUACUGGGCGUAAAGGGUGCGUAGGCGGCCCUUUAAGUCAGAUGUGAAAGCCCGCAGCUUAACUGCGGAAUUGCAUUUGAAACUGGAGGGCUUGAGUGUCGGAGAGGGUAGUGGAAUUCCCAGUGUAGCGGUGAAAUGCGUAGAUAUUGGGAGGAACACCAGUGGCGAAGGCGACUGCCUGGACGAUAACUGACGCUGAGGCACGAAAGCUAGGGGAGCAAACAGGAUUAGAUACCCUGGUAGU